UACAGUGAGCAGAAAGUGGUGAGGAUAGACUUGCCCAUGAAAUUGAUGAUCUGACUAGCAAGUAGGAUUCCUGCUCACCUUGAUUCCCAAAGCACCUGCUGUACUGAGGAAUUGUGAGAGACUGGACUGUGGAACAUUCGUCUCAAAAGAUUGCUUGUGUGAAAGACUGACCUGUGGACAUUAAAUAUUGCCUGUCUAAGCAAAAAAUUCCAACUGCUGCUGAGCAGCUGCAAGGCCAUGGAAAUCAGGAAUGCAGAGAUGUGCCGUUGCCAUGGAAGCAACCACCAUUAUCAGAAACCGCAGCCCUUGAGCAGAGAUGAAAGGACUGUUGAGACAGGCCCUGGUGCGAUCGCCCACCGCUGAAGCAACAAGAGACUUGGACCCCUGGGACGCCGCAGAUCCUUGGUGGUGACUAUUGUUGCAACUCUCUUCCGAUUGCUUGCUUUAUUUCUGCCCUGUGACGCUAUCCUAUCCCAUCGCUGUUAUUUUUUACUUUUUGAUAAUAAAAGGUAUUUUGAGCA